UACGGAGGGGGCUAGCGUUGUUCGGAAUUACUGGGCGUAAAGCGCGCGUAGGCGGCUUUGUAAGUUAGAGGUGAAAGCCCGGAGCUCAACUCCGGAAUUGCCUUUAAGACUGCAUCGCUAGAAUCAUGGAGAGGUGAGUGGAAAUUCCGAGUGUAGAGGUGAAAUUCGUAGAUAUUCGGAAGAACACCAGUGGCGAAGGCGACUCACUGGACAUGUAUUGACGCUGAGGUGCGAAAGCGUGGGGAGCAACAGG
rnacentral:rRNA from 1 species